rnacentral:rRNA from 1 species
AUUGAACGCUGGCGGAAUGCUUUACACAUGCAAGUCGAACGGCAGCACGGACUUCGGUCUGGUGGCGAGUGGCGAACGGGUGAGUAAUACAUCGGAACGUGCCCAGUCGUGGGGGAUAACGUAGCGAAAGCUACGCUAAUACCGCAUACGAUCUAAGGAUGAAAGCGGGGGAUCGCAAGACCUCGCGCGAUUGGAGCGGCCGAUGGCAGAUUAGGUAGUUGGUAGGGUAAAGGCCUACCAAGCCGACGAUCUGUAGCUGGUCUGAGAGGAUGAUCAGCCACACUGGGACUGAGACACGGCCCAGACUCCUACGGGAGGCAGCAGUGGGGAAUUUUGGACAAUGGACGCAAGUCUGAUCCAGCCAUUCCGCGUGCAGGAUGAAGGCCCUCGGGUUGUAAACUGCUUUUGUACAGAACGAAAAGGCUCUAUUAAAUACUAAGGGGCUCAUGACGGUACUGUAAGAAUAAGCAACCGGCUAACUACGUGCC